GACGAACGCUGGCGGCGCGCCUAACACAUGCAAGUCGAACGGAGCUUAGAGAGCUUGCUUUUUAAGCUUAGUGGCGAACGGGUGAGUAACGCGUGAGUAACCUGCCCUAGAGUGGGGGACAACAGUUGGAAACGACUGCUAAUACCGCAUAAGCCCACGGUGCCGCAUGACACUGAGGGAAAAGGAUUUAUUCGCUUUAGGAUGGACUCGCGUCCAAUUAGCUAGUUGGUGAGGUAACGGCCCACCAAGGCGACGAUUGGUAGCCGGACUGAGAGGUUGAACGGCCACAUUGGGACUGAGACACGGCCCAGACUCCUACGGGAGGCAGCAGUGGGGGAUAUUGCACAAUGGGGGAAACCCUGAUGCAGCGACGCCGCGUGGAGGAAGAAGGUUUUCGGAUUGUAAACUCCUGUCGUUAGGGACGAUAAUGACGGUACCUAACAAGAAAGCACCGGCUAACUACGUGCCAGCAGCCGCGGUAAAACGUAGGGUGCAAGCGUUGUCCGGAAUUACUGGGUGUAAAGGGAGCGCAGGCGGGAAGACAAGUUGGAAGUGAAAACCAUGGGCUCAACCCAUGAAUUGCUUUCAAAACUGUUUUUCUUGAGUAGUGCAGAGGUAGAUGGAAUUCCCGGUGUAGCGGUGGAAUGCGUAGAUAUCGGGAGGAACACCAGUGGCGAAGGCGGUCUACUGGGCACCAACUGACGCUGAGGCUCGAAAGCAUGGGUAGCAAACAGGAUUAGAUACCCUGGUAGUCCAUGCCGUAAACGAUGAUUACUAGGGGUUGGGGGAUUGACCCCCCUCAGUGCCGCAGUUAACACAAAAAGUAAUCCACCUGGGGAGUACGACCGCAAGGUUGAAACUCAAAGGAAUUGACGGGGGCCCGCACAAGCAGUGGAGUAUGUGGUUUAAUUCGAAGCAACGCGAAGAACCUUACCAGGUCUUGACAUCCGAUGCAUAACACAGAGAUGUGUGAAAUCCUUCGGGACAUCGAGACAGGUGGUGCAUGGUUGUCGUCAGCUCGUGUCGUGAGAUGUUGGGUUAAGUCCCGCAACGAGCGCAACCCUUAUUGCCAGUUACUACGUUAAGAGGACUCUGGCGAGACUGCCGUUGACAAAACGGAGGAAGGUGGGGAGGACGUCAAAUCAUCAUGCCCUUUAUGACCUGGGCUACACACGUACUACAAUGGCGUUAAACAGAGAGAAGCAAGACCGCGAGGUGGAGCAAAACUCAAAAACAACGUCUCAGUUCAGAUUGCAGGCUGCAACUCGCCUGCAUGAAGUCGGAAUUGCUAGUAAUCGCGGAUCAGCAUGCCGCGGUGAAUACGAUCCCGGGCCUUGUAC
rnacentral:rRNA from 1 species